rnacentral:tRNA from 1 species
CGGGGUAUAGCGCAGUCUGGUAGCGCGCCUGUUUUGGGAGCAGGAUGUCGGGGGUUCAAAUCCCUCUACCCCGA